AUUGAACGCUGGCGGCAGGCCUAACACAUGCAAGUCGAGCGGAGCGCCGGAUGGGUGCGGAAUGCCUGGGAAUCUGACUGGUCCUGAGGGAUAACGUCCGGAACCGGGCGCGAUUACCGCAUACUCUCUGAUGCGUCUAGGUCGGAUUGGCUAGUUGGGGGGGUAAAGGCCUACCCGGGCGACGAUCCGUAACUGGUCUGAGAGGAUGAUCAGUCACACUGGAACGGAGACACGGUCCAGACUCCUACGGGAGGCAGCAGUGGGGAAUAUUGGACAAUGGGCGAAAGCCUGAUCCAGCCAUGCCGCGUGUGUGAAGAAGGUCUUCGGAUUGUAAAGCACUUUAAGUUAGGAGGCGUUACCAACAGAAUAAGCACCGGCUAACUUCGUGCCAGCAGCCGCGGUAAUAC
rnacentral:rRNA from 1 species